rnacentral:tRNA from 1 species
GCUAUAAUAGUAUAAUGGUCAGUACAUCAGUUUGUGGCACUGAAGAUCGAGGUUCGAUUCCUCGUUAUGGCA